rnacentral:tRNA from 1 species
GGAGAGGUGGCUGAGUGGUCGAAAGCACUGGUCUUGAAAACCAGCGUGGCAGCAAUGUCACCGUGGGUUCGAAUCCCACCCUCUCCG